AUGAACGCUGGCGGCGUGGAUAAGGCAUGCAAGUCGAAUGGGUUUAGACCCAUGGCGAACGAGGUAGUAACACGUAGAAAUGUACCCUAAAGUCAGGGAUAAUCCGUCGAAAGGCGGGAUAAUACUUGAUGGUCUCUUCGGAGUAAAGAUUUAUCGCUUUAGGAACAGUCUGCGGGAUAUCAGCUAGUUGGUAGGGUAAUGGCCUACCAAGGCUAUGACGUCUAGGGGAGCUGAGAGGCUGACCCCCACCGAUGGUACUGAGACACGGACCAUACACCUACGGGUGGCUGCAGUCGAGAAUCUUCCACAAUGGGCGAAAGCCUGAUGGAGCGACGCCGCGUGAAGGAUGAAGUCCCUCGGGACGUAAACUUCUUUUAUGAGGGAAGAAGCCGGUUGACCGGUGUGACUGUACCUCAGGAAUAAGGGGUUGCUAAACUCGU
rnacentral:rRNA from 1 species